rfam:Schistosoma mansoni strain Puerto Rico chromosome W, complete genome
AUCCAGUUGACGAUUCCCAAAUAGGACGAAACGUGCGUCCUGGAU